rnacentral:rRNA from 1 species
UACGGGGGGGGCAAGCGUUGUUCGGAAUUACUGGGCGUAAAGGGCUCGUAGGCGGCCAACUAAGUCAGACGUGAAAUCCCCAGGCUCAACCUGGGAACUGCGUCUGAUACUGGUUGGCUUGAAUCCGGGAGAGGGACGUGGAAUUCCAGGUGUAGCGGUGAAAUGCGUAGAUAUCUGGAGGAACACCGGUGGCGAAGGCGACGUCCUGGACCGGCAUUGACGCUGAGGCGCGAAAGCCAGGGGAGCAAACGGG